GACGAACGCUGGCGGCGUGCUUAACACAUGCAAGUCGAGCGGAAAGGCCCCUUGUGGGUACUCGAGCGGCGAACGGGUGAGUAACACGUGAGUAAUCUGCCCUUCACUUCAGGAUAGCUCCCGGAAACGGGGAUUAAUACUGGAUAUGACACAUUCGCGCAUGUGGGUGUGUGGAAAGUUUUUUCGGUGGGGGAUGUGCUCGCGGCCUAUCAGCUUGAUGGUGGGGUAAUGGCCUACCAUGGCUUCGACGGGUAGCCGGCCUGAGAGGGUGACCGGUCACACUGGGACUGAGACACGGCCCAGACUCCUACGGGAGGCAGCAGUGGGGAAUAUUGGACAAUGGGCGGAAGCCUGAUCCAGCAACGCCGCGUGAGGGAUGACGGCCUUCGGGUUGUAAACCUCUUUCAGCACAGACGAAGCGCAAGUGACGGUAUGUGCAGAAGAAGGACCGGCCAACUACGUGCCAGCAGCCGCAGUAAAAC
rnacentral:rRNA from 1 species